rnacentral:rRNA from 1 species
GGGGAAUAUUGGACAAUGGGGGCAACCCUGAUCCAGCCAUGCCGCGUGUGUGAAGAAGGCCCUCGGGUUGUAAAGCACUUUCAGCGAGGAAGAACGCCUAGCGGUUAAUACCCGCUAGGAAAGACAUCACUCGCAGAAGAAGCACCGGCUAACUCCGUGCCAGCAGCCGCGGUAAUACGGAGGGUGCAAGCGUUAAUCGGAAUUACUGGGCGUAAAGCGCGCGUAGGUGGCUUGAUAAGCCGGUUGUGAAAGCCCCGGGCUCAACCUGGGAACGGCAUCCGGAACUGUCAAGCUAGAGUGCAGGAGAGGAAGGUAGAAUUCCCGGUGUAGCGGUGAAAUGCGUAGAGAUCGGGAGGAAUACCAGUGGCGAAGGCGGCCUUCUGGACUGACACUGACACUGAGGUGCGAAAGCGUGGGUAGCAAAC